UGAAACCAGAUUUUCCUAUUUAGAAUCUGAGUCAACUUGUGUACAUGAUAGGUUCCGAAGAGCCAGUAGAAUGAUUGUAAAUGAAAAAGUAUGCUACGCUAUGAAUGUCGACAUCCAGACUUUAAGACAUAACUGGACGAAAGAACACUCAUUUAUAAGUCGUUUCGAUGCAGACGUACUAAAUGGAAAGAGAAACAUUUCGGAGCAGGGAAUCCACGUCCAGCUCACUAUGGCUAAAGGAUUUGUAGACAGGGAAUUGUUGAAAAUCAGGAAAAAUAUGUCCGAGGAUAACUUGUCACUGGAGGAAGUGAACAAAGACGUUAGUCUAUUGCAGAAGUAUUUUGGCAAAUGAAGCUAACACUAACGCCAUGGAAGAUGAUCAGUUCUAAAAACUAAUAAAAUGUGUUUUAUCUUAUGAAAUUUAAUGUGAUUUUGUUGGUGAAAAUAAACAUCAAAU